GACGAACGCUGGCGGCGUGCUUAACACAUGCAAGUCGAACGAAGUGGCGAACGGGUGAGUAACGCGUAAUCAACCUGCCCUUCAGAGGGGGACAACAGUUGGAACCGACUGCUAAUACCGCAUACUGACGGUGGGGAUUGCGUCUGAUUAGCUAGUUGGAGGGGUAACGGCCCCCCAAGGCGCUGAUCAGUAGCCGGUCUGAGAGGAUGAACGGCCACAUGGGGACUGGGACACGGCCCAGACGCUUACGGUAGGCAGCAGUGGGGAAUCUUCCUCAAUGGAGGAAAGUCUGACGGAGAAACGCCGCGGGAGUGAUGACGGCCUUCGGGUUGUAAAGCUCUGUUAAUCGGGACGCGGUACCGGAAUAGAAAGCCACGGCUAACUACGUGCCAGCAGCCGCGGUAAUUC
rnacentral:rRNA from 1 species